GCAUGAUCUUGUCCAUGAUCUUGCACAAUCAGUUGCGAAACACCAGUGCUGUUUGAUUGAAACCAGCAAGGCAUUGGAAGUUCCCAAAGGUGUUCGUCAUUUUACUAUUCAUAAUAGAAAAUAUUUGCUACCUAUUGUUGGGAUUGAGGACCUUCAAAAGUUCAAUCACUGAGCUCAUUUCCUUGUGCUUCGCCAGACCACGCGCGAUGAUAUUCUUCCCCACUCUGGACAGAAGCAUCUAAGAG
rnacentral:misc_RNA from 1 species